rnacentral:rRNA from 1 species
UUUAAUUGAUGACUUGUAUGAAAGAUUGGAUGAAAUAUAAACUGUCUCUUAAUUAAAAAUAAAAUUUAAUUUUUUAAUUAAAAAGUUAAAAUAAAUUAAAAAGACGAGAAGACCCUAUAGAGUUUAAUAAAUUAUUUAAUUAAGAUUAUUUAUAAAUUUAAAAUUAAAAUUAAUUAAUUUAUUUUGUUGGGGUGACAGAAAAAUAAAUAUAACUUUUUUUUAUUAAGAACAUAUAUAAGUGGUUAGAUGAUCCAAUAUUAUUGAUUAUAAGAAAAAAUUACCUUAGGGAUAACAGCGUAAUUUUUUUUUUUAGUUCAUAUAAAAAAAA